rnacentral:rRNA from 1 species
CACGUAGGGUGCGAGCGUUGUCCGGAAUCAUUGGGCGUAAAGCGCGUGUAGGCGGCUUCGUAAGUCCGUUGUGAAAGUCCAGGGCUCAACCCUGGAAUGCCGAUGGAUACUGCGGAGCUAGAGUCCGGAAGAGGCGAGUGGAAUUCCUGGUGUAGCGGUGAAAUGCGCAGAUAUCAGGAGGAACACCAAUGGCGAAGGCAGCUCGCUGGGACGGUACUGACGCUGAGACGCGAAAGCGUGGGGAGCAAACAGG